GUCUGCGGCCAUACCACCCUGAACGCACCCGAUCUCGUCUGAUCUCGGAAGCUAAGCAGGGUCGGGCCUGGUUAGUACAUGGAUGGGAGAUGGGGGUGGGGGGGGAAUGUCAUUGGAGGCGUGCCCU
rfam:Dipodomys ordii contig_40598, whole genome shotgun sequence.